AGUGAUCCGUACAUUGAUCUAUCCAGAUCAAUCACCAUCCCCAUGAUGAUCUUAUGACCAGAAGCAGUUUAGGAAUGAACCAUCAAUGACAUAUGCUUCAAAUUCUCAACUCUUUGAGAAUAUGUGUCAUCAUCUUGUUAAUAUCUUGGAUGAUUCAUGGACAUAGAGAUAUGAAUAGUAAUAUAACUGCCCAAUAGGUAUAAAAUUAUAUCUUAGAGAUAUGAAAUGUGUCAGUCA
rnacentral:lncRNA from 1 species